GUUGUAGAACUGCAGCAGCAACUGAAGAAUGCACUGCACCAGCUACGUCUAGAGGAGGCCAGAGCGGGAGAGACCAGCAAACUGGAGAGAGACACCAGAGACAUGUCUGAUAACCUGUCUGCCCUCAGAGCCCGACUGCAAGAGGAGCAACUACAGAGGUCAUCUGGACUUUUUCUUCUGUGUAGAUAGAGUGUGUGCUCAUGGUUGCCAGGUUGUGAAGAAGAUUUAAAACAUAGGGCUGAACAUCUUGUUUUUUAAGAACAAAGCUGUGAUGGUGGAUUUAAACUCUGCCAAACCCAAACAUGAAGACUCUUGGAGGAAACUACUUCAGCAGAAAGAUGAGAAACUCCAGCAGCAGGUGCACUCAUUGCAGGCGAAGGAGGCAACUCUGACACGCACUAACUCAGAGAUGUCUCACCGCACACAGGAGCUGGAGAGUGAACUUAACACAGCUAGAGAAGAGCAGAGAAGCAGUCAGAAGAGCUGCCACAGGCUGGAAGAACAGCUGCUGUCUUCCCAGCAUGAGUCUGAGAGACUGCAGGAAGAACUGAAGCUGGUCGACAGCAGCUUGACACUAACAUCAGGAGAUACUAUGAGAAACAGUCUCAACACAAAACCAAAUUGCGCAGAGCUAAACAGAUCUUCAUGA
rnacentral:lncRNA from 1 species